rnacentral:rRNA from 1 species
UCGGGGACACCGGCGGACGGCUCAGUAACACGUCGGUAACCUACCCUCGGGAGGGGGAUAACCCCGGGAAACUGGGGCUAAUCCCCCAUAGGCCUGGGGUACUGGAAGGUCCCCAGGCCGAAAGGGGCUCUGCCCGCCCGAGGAUGGGCCGGCGGCCGAUUAGGUAGUUGGUGGGGUAACGGCCCACCAAGCCGAAGAUCGGUACGGGCCAUGAGAGUGGGAGCCCGGAGAUGGACACUGAGACACGGGUCCAGGCCCUACGGGGCGCAGCAGGCGCGAAACCUCCGCAAUGCGGGCAACCGCGACGGGGGGACCCCCAGUGCCGUGGCACAGCCACGGCUUUUCCGGAGUGUAAAAAGCUCCGGGAAUAAGGGCUGGGCAAGGCCGGUGGCAGCCGCCGCGGUAAUACCGGCGGCCCAAGUGGUGGCCGCUAUUAUUGGGCCUAAAGCGUCC